rnacentral:tRNA from 1 species
GAAGUAUGAUUACGUCAGAGCCAAGCUUCUAACUUAGGCCCUAAGCAAUGAAAUUUUGUUUAUACUUUU